rnacentral:rRNA from 1 species
UACAGAGGGUGCGAGCGUUAAUCGGAAUUACUGGGCGUAAAGCGCGCGUAGGCGGCUUUGCAAGUCGGGUGUGAAAUCCCCAGGCUUAACCUGGGAACUGCAUUCGAGACUGCAUUGCUAGAGUAUGGGAGAGGGAAGUGGAAUUUCCGGUGUAGCGGUGAAAUGCGUAGAUAUCUGGAGGAACACCGGUGGCGAAGGCGGCAUCCUGGGCCAACACUGACGCUGAUGAGCGAAAGCCAGGGGAGCAAACGGG